AGACAGACACCCUGUAGUCAGGCAUCUUCUGCAUAUUGAGGAGUUGUGGAUCUCCUCGAUAGCCUCCAUCUGCUACAAAAUCAGACUCUUUGAUGAGGGGGAAGUGCUACACUUUUCUGUGGCUAUAAGGACAGGGUCUCUCUGUAGCCCAGGUUGUCAUCAAAGUUGCCAACUUCCUUCUUCAACUUCUCAAGCUCAGGAAAUACAGAAUGAAGAGAUGAAGUUAAAAGGGAUGGAUUAAAGAUCGCACUGCCAACUAACCAUAGAACUGGAAACAGACCAUCUAGCUCACAAGAGAGUGGUGACCUUCUGAAACAUUAGCAGCAGGGGAGCACCAAUGACAUCGAAGGAAGAUUUAUCUGGUGGUGCUGUUGGAGACAGGCUGCAGCUAGGACACAUAAGAUCUGAUUUGAAAAAGUUGAUAGGAUGAAGGCCAAGAGUGAAGAAGCACUUGGGGGAUGUGAGAAGGAUGGUAUAGAAUCCCUGACAUUUGACAUUCAACUUUAGAAGCUCAUGUUAGUUCUUCACAUCUUGCUUCUCUGUUCCUCACCGUCAUGUUUGUUGGCAACUUCCUGAGCAGCACCGUCUUGGCUCCUUUGCUCAUCCCUCCUUCCUCUCCACAACUGGAUUCCAGGAGUAUGGUUCAGUGCUUAGCUGUGGGUACCUGUUUCUGCUUUGAACAGCUACUGGAUGAAGACUCUAGGAAUGGUAACCAAGGGCCUCUCCAUGAACCUGGAGCUUGCCAAUUCCUGCUGGUCUAACCAGCCAUCUCUUCCCCAGGAAGAUCCAGUUUCUGACUCCAGGGUGUUGAAGAUGACAGGUGGCUGCCACUCCUGCAGAAUGAGUGUGGUUUCUGAAGAUCUGAACUCUAGCCUUCACAUUUGUGGAGCAAGAGCUUAACUAGCUACCCCUCUCCAUGGCCUUAAGAUGCUCAUUUAAGAAUAAAGACUCAAUGAAGAGGAGAGAAACCUGCCCUCUCUAAUCAUAAUGGGAGACCGCAGGAUUUAAACUACAAAACCAAAGCUAGCACAUUGCUGGGACCUGCUUACUCUAAAUGCAAGACAAAUAUACAGGAAGAAAGGUGACCUUACAAACCCAAGCCCAUAAUAAGAUCAUUGUACUUCUCUGAGGCCAGACCCUAUAUUUAUGCAAACUUUAGAGUGUAUCUGAAUAGGCCAAUUGCCUACUCUGUAGGAGAUCUGAAGGCACAGUGGUGGGGUGGAAUGGAGGCAUAAAGAAAACAUUAAAGAGGUAAAAAGUAAAAUUACUAUUUGAAGGUUUACCUUGGUUCAUAUCAUUUUGGGUGGCUGGCUAUGAAUUUCCUUGACCUUGGUGGGGUGGGUGUUCUAAGAAACCACUAGAAAUUGUGAAAUCUCAAACUUUGCAGUGAGCU
rnacentral:lncRNA from 1 species